rfam:Chloroflexi bacterium RBG_13_54_9 RBG_13_scaffold_21982, whole genome shotgun sequence.
UCUACGGAGGGUUUGAUCCUGGCUCAGGAUGAACGCUGGCGGCGUGCCUGAUGCAUGCUAGUCGAACGAACCAUCACUAGGUGAAAGCUCUGGAAGGGGCGGAUCAUAAGAAAUUGUGUGAAGCCUAAGAAAGGGUGGAAACCUGGAUGCUGGUUAGUGGCGAACAGGUGAGUAACACGUAGGUUAUCUGCCCCAAAGUGGGGAAUAACUGUUCGAAAGGGCAGCUAAUUCCGCAUGUGUUCCAACUCUGUUGGAAGAAAGGAAUUUCGGUUCCGCUUUGGGAUGAGCCUGCGGCCGAUUAGCUAGUUGGUAGGGUAAUGGCCUACCAAGGCGACGAUCGGUAGCUGGUCUGAGAGGACGGUCGGCCACACUGGAACUGAGACAAGGUCCAGACUCCUACGGGAGGCAGCAGCAAGGAAUAUUGCACAAUGAGGGAAACCACGAUGCAGCAACGCCGCGUGAGCGAUGAAGGCCUUCGGGCUGUAAAGCUCUUUACUGAGGGACGAGAGAGGACGGUACCUCAGCAACAAGCCUCGGCUAACUACGUGCCAGCAGCCGCGGUAAAACGUAGGAGGCGAGCGUUAUCCGGAUUUACUGGGCGUAAAGGGCCUGUAGGCGGUAGCUUAAGUUGGACGUGAAAUCUCCCGGCUUAACUGGGAGGGGUCGUUCAAAACUGGGCUGCUAGAGGGCAGGAGAGGGAAGCGGAAUUCCUAGUGUAGCGGUGGAAUGCUCAGAUACUAGGAGGAACACCAGUGGCGAAGGCGGCUUCCUGGCCUGUACCUGACGCUGAGCGGCGAAAGCUAGGGGAGCAAACGGGCUUAGAUACCCCGGUAGUCCUAGCUGUAAACGUUGGAUACUGGGUAUUGAGGGUAUAGAUCCCCGCAGUGCCGAAGCUAACGCGUUAAGUAUCCCGCCUGGGGACUACGGCCGCAAGGUUAAAACUCAAAGGAAUUGACGGGUCUCCGCACAAGCAGCGGAGCGUGUGGUUCAAUUCGAUGCAACACGAAGAACCUUACCUGGGCUUGACAUGUAUGUAGUAGGGAUCCGAAAGGUGACCGACCCUUCGGGGAGCAUACACAGGUGCUGCAUGGCUGUCGUCAGCUCGUGCCGUGAGGUGUUGGGUUAAGUCCUUCAACGAGCGCAACCCUCGUUGCCAGUUAAAUAUCUCUGGCGAGACUGCCGGUAUAUAACCGGAGGAAGGUGGGGAUGAUGUCAAGUCAGCAUGGCCUUUAUGUCCAGGGCUACACACACGCUACAAUGGCCGGUACAAUGGGUUGCCAAGCCGCGAGGCGGAGCUAAUCCCUUAAAGCCGGUCCCAGUUCAGAUUGUAGGCUGCAACCCGCCUGCAUGAAGCUGGAGUUGCUAGUAACCGCAGGUCAGCAAUACUGCGGUGAAUACGUUCCCGGAGAUUGUACACACCGCCCGUCACGUCAUGGAAGCUGGCAAUACCUGAAAUCGGUGAGCCAACCGCAAGGAGGCAGCCGCCUAAGGUAGGGCUAGUGACUGGGACGAAGUCGUAACAAGGUAGCCGUACCGGAAGGUGCGGCUGGAUCACCUCCUUU